GGUAAGUGAACUUGGUCUUGGCUGAAUUUCUUGUUGAUCUUCUGGGGGGAGGGGCCUGGUGUAGUGAUUCUCAAGUGUCUUUGCUCCAGGUGGAAUUGCACCGCCCUUACCAGGGGCCGGGCUAAGUAAACUGCUCGGGUUCACUUUCGGGAGCUUUUGUUCCCUGAGCGCUUUCUGUAGAGUUCCGGAAGAUGGGAAUGAAAAUGGUGAUUGGCCUCCCAAUUGCCAGCCCAGAGGAGCCGAGAGUUUGGGGCCCCACUCAUCAGGGCACCCUCAGAGAAAAGCGUUGAAUCACUGCCGUCUCCCUGGCCUCCAGUCUCGCUCCGGGCUCACCCAGCCUGUGACUGGUUCAAGUGGACCGUGGUGCUGA
rnacentral:lncRNA from 1 species